ensembl:snoRNA SNORA70 Small nucleolar RNA SNORA70
CUGCAGCCAAUUAAGCUGACUGAGUUCCUUUCCUCACAGGGGCCAGGUGUGCAAUGGCUGCAAACAGCAGCUUCCUUGGUAGUGUACACAGCCUGUUUCUUGUAUGCAUUGCUCUAAGGGACCUUGGAGACAGGC